rnacentral:rRNA from 1 species
CAGCAGCCGCGGGAAUACGGAGGGUGCAAGCGUUAAUCGGAGUUACUGGGCGUAAAGCGCACGCAGGCGGUUUGUUAAGUCAGAUGUGAAAUCCCCGAGCUUAACUUGGGAACUGCAUUUGAAACUGGCAAGCUAGAGUCUUGUAGAGGGGGGUAGAAUUCCAGGUGUAGCGGUGAAAUGCGUAGAGAUCUGGAGGAAUACCGGUGGCGAAGGCGGCCCCCUGGACAAUGACUGACGCUCAGGUACGAAAGCGUGGGGAGCAAACAGGAUUAGAGACCCCGGUAGUCCCUGUCUCUUAUAC